ACCUUCCCCGACUUCACUCGCCGACUUUGGUCUACAGUUGACUUCAUUAGCCUUACUGCUCAAACACACCCGUUGACUUUUGUGCUUUUUUCCCAGGUCCAUCAACCCGACCCAGAAUUCCACAGGAGCCCACACAACCAGGGACUCCCUGGAGCAAUGGCUGCUCUUGCCCAGCAGCCUAAACAAGCACCUGUACCUGCCUGCUGCAGAGAUUCUUCUUCCUGGAAGGUGGCAGACAUCCCUACUGCCUGAGCAACAGGAGUUGGUGAGCCAGGCCCUGUUUCAGAGGGACAGUUCUGGAAACAUUGAGUUCAUUCUGAGACCAACCAAGAACUGCCACUAAUCUCACCUGCUCCCUUCUUUGCAACAUGUUUUUUCUUGUGGAUGCCCAAACGCAUGUGGCGAUUGAAGCUGUCAUGCCCCAGUGCCAAGGCCACCUGCUCUCAGACUGUGGGCUGUAUAAGACCGUGCAGAGGAUUCUGGACAUUGACGAGUGGUAUUACAUGGCCACAGAGUGCCUUGAAUGCAGUCAGUGUUAGAGGAAAGGGAAGGGUGGUUUCUGGAUGUGUUAAAUUAACUGCCUCCAGGUUGUCAUCUGUAGUUUGCAGCAAUCUUUACCUCCCGGUAAGUUUAUCCUUAUCUGGUCCAGAUGGCGAUCAACUAAGUAUCUAGAGAGAAGGAGGGGAAGAGAGAGGAUCCAUGGUCCAUAGACAGUGCCUCGUAGCACUACUACCUCAAAAUAGGACAGGAAAACAAGAAGAGCAAUAAAGACUUUCAUUGCAUCUUUACCCAUCUAAAGGUUUGACUUUUUCAAACCAGAGUUGACCAACCACAGACAGAAACCAACCAUAUAUCCAAUCAGAUCAAACCACAACCAAGUCCCCUCAAAGAGGGGUCAAACCUUACUGUGAUAAGUAGCCUAGGUGUACUGCUUGUAUGAAUUUGGGAUGUUUUUUGUUGUUUUAAUUUAACCUUUAUUUAACUUUAUUGGCUUGACGUCAUUUCCGGUCUCAACUUGUAGACUUCUUUAAGUGCUGCUGCACCCACGUGGGUGACUGAAAGACGAAUGAGGUCAGUGGCGGUAAUGCACCUAAUUUAUGAAAGUUGCCAAUCGCAAUGUAAAGUCAAGAGAAGAAAAAGCAUGGAAGGAAGAGAGAUGACUAGAAAUGAUUCGGUUGACCGUUUUAUGUGUGGAUUAAUUGGCGGAGUAGCGGACCUUGUGCUUUCAGCCCUAGGACCUGGCCUGAUGACUCCUUGCUGACCCCAGUUCACCGGACGUGCUACCUGUCCCAGACCUGCUGUUUUCAACUCUCUAGAGACAGCAGAUGCGGUAGAGAUACUCUGAAUGAUCAGCUAUGAAAAGCCAACUGACAUUUACUCCUGAAGUGCUGACCUGUUGCACCCUCUACAAACACUGUGAUUAUUAUUAUUUGACCCUGCUGGUCAUCUAUGAACAUUUGAACAUCUUGGCCAUGUUCUGUUAUAAUCUCCACCCGGCACAGCCAGAAGAGGACUGGCCACCCCUCAUAGCCUGGUUCCUCUCUAGGUUUCUUCCUAGGUUCUGGCCUUUCUUGGGAGUUUUUCCUAGCCACCAUGCUUCUACACCUGCAUUGCUUGCUGUUUGGGGUUUUAGGCUGGGUUUUUGUGCACUUUGUGACAUCAGCUGAUGUAAGAAGGGCUUUAUAAAUAAAUUUGAUUUGUUUGAACUAGGCAAGCCAGUUAAGAACAAAUACUUAUUUACAAUGACGGCCUAACCCGGACGACGCUGGGCCAAUUGUGCGCGCCCUAUGGGACUCCCAAUCACGGCCGGUUGUGAUACAGCCUGGAAUUGAACCAGGUCUGUAGUGACGCUCUAGCACUGAGAUGAGGUGCGUUCGAGCGCUGCGCCACUCGGGAACCCAAAAUCAAUUUAUAAUAUUGAUCCACAACUGUCAGUCUGUUUGGAACAGUGGCAUGUAUUUAUGGAUGCCAGGCUUCCCAAACAAAUUGACCAAGAAAUAAAUAACUAAAUGAAAUACUUUGUGUUUCAUAAGCUUCCUUCAGUUAGCAAGAGGCUGAAUGUAUAUACAAGGAGAAAGCAUUAGAGCGAGCGAAACAGCACCCUUCUUUGUCUCUAAGUGUAGCUCAUACUGUCUGGUUCAAACGAGUAUAGCAGUGUUGCCGCCCGUAACACUUAAGGCAAGGGAAGCCAGGUAGCAUUUGGCCUCCCUUGAUUAAAAAAAAGUUACAAAAAAUGGCCGAUCACCAUUGAGCUAAACUGAGCGACCUCAACUGUGAAUAGUCCUGGUGAAACCAGUUUGUAUUUUGGCAUCCCUCCUAUCAAAUUCCAUUGAGAGCAUACCUCCUUGACAGAGAGAACUUGAAUUGUUGCAUCUCGUUGUGUUGUCCUCCGGUGGCUAGCUAGCUAGAUAAAAUUGUCCCUUUCAUAAAUUAGCCAUGGAUGGAGAUAGGGAUGUGGUUUUACUUAAUUCUCCAUACUGAGAUUUUACCCACGCACCGCUACUGGUUUGGAAUAGGCUAUUUCUUUCUCAACAAGCUAACCAAUAGAAUAGAUAGCCUAAACUUUUCUUCUAUAGUAGAUUGACAUAGGCUAGUGAUUUUGCUAUUCGUUACUUGUAUUGUUGGCUGAGGAAAAGUACAUUUUUAUUGUUCAGAAAUGUGGUGGGUACUCUCUUCGUUCGCGGGACUUUAUCCUGCUAACUGUUCCAAAUGUCCGAACUGAAUUUGGUAAAAGGGCUUUUAUGUACUCUGCGCCAUCGUCUUGGAACGCCUUACAAAAUACUUUUAAACUGGAAGAACUUGUCCCGAUUUGGUAUUUUUAAAUCACUGAUGAAUGAUCUUGACUGAUUCCCUGACAUGUCAAUGUUUUUAAUUUGCUGUUUUUGAUUUUGUUAUACUCUUGUGAAUUCUAUGGUUUUUACUAGAUUACUUGUUGUUUGUCUGUAAUUUUUGUAAUGACUUGGUGCUGCCUAUCUUGGCCAGGACGCUCUUGAAAAAUAUAUUUUAAAUCUCAAUGAGCCCUUCCUGGUUAAAUAAAGGUUAAAUAAAAUGUGGACAGUUAUUCUAACAUGUGCAAAUCAUAAUUCGGUAAGAAGGACUGCACAUCAUUGCAUCCUUCACUCGCAUGUUCUAUUAAUAUGAAUUACCAUAUUCUAAAUGUUAUUUCUGUCAUUCUGAGCACCAUGGGUGGACACCCUAAUCAGGUUAUGCACUCAAUGAAUAUGGGUCUGGUAAAUUGCUCAAAUGUCUGGGAAAUUAAAAUGUUGAUGGUCAAAUGUCAGGUGCCACAUUUUCCUAACGGAAACCCUGUUUCCACGUCAUCUCCUGACAUCCUCAGACAUGGAUUGACGUCCAAUACUGACUUGUAUCAAGGGUGACCUGGCUGGUGAAUUGAGGGUAGGAAAGAGCUCAAACUUAGAUUUAAAAAAAAAAAAAGCAUGGACUGGGUCUCCCGAGUUGCACAGAAGUCUAAGGCACUGCAUUGCAGUGCUUGAGGGGUCACUACAGACCUGGGUUCAAUCCAGACUGUGUCACAACCAGAUGUGACCGGUUGUCCCAUAGGGCAGCUCACAAUUGGCCCAGCAUUGUCCAGGGUAGGGGAGGGUUUGUCCGGGGGGCUUUAAUUGGCUCAUCACGCUCUAGUGACUCCCUGUGGCGGGCCGGGCACCUACAGGCUGACUUCGUUAGUCAGUUGGACGGUGUUUCCUCCGACACAUUGGUGCAGCUGGCUUCUGGGUUAAGCAGGUGGGUGUUAAGAAGCGAGGUUAGACGGGUCAUGUUUCGGAGGACGCAUGACUCGACCUUCGCCUCUCGCGAGCCAGUUAGUGAGUUGCAGCGAUGAAACGAGAUCGCAAUUGGGGAGAAAAAGGGGGUAAAAAAAUAAAGAAUGGGCUUGCGGUCUGUUUCAACAUAACGUUUUUUAUAUAACAGCGUUUCCACACCUUCCCAUGACACAAGUUGUGUUGGGGAAAUAUUAUUAGUAUUUUAUUUUGUUAUAUUCCAUUAGGCCUAUAUUCUUACUACAAAAUAUGUGUGUUUACUGUGAUUGGGGUAGGUAUGUAUUUUCUGUUUAAUGAACAAAAUAAUGAACUAUUGAUUUCAUUUAUUUGGAGGUAACAUAGUUAAACUCCAAACAUGUCAUUCUAUUGUUAAGAAAAUAAAACAAAGGGAAAACACAUUUUUGACUGCACUGCCCCUUUUUUUUUUUUUU
rnacentral:lncRNA from 1 species